rnacentral:lncRNA from 1 species
CCUAGUCCAACACCGCAUCACUCACACUCUCUCAAACACUCUUCUUAUUCUUCAACUGCAUCUCAAACCUCUCUCUCUGUUCGAUUCCUUCAAAAAUGGCCAAAGAUCAAAGUAGCAUCAUGUGUGGCUCACGUUUAAGGUUCCUACUUCCUACUUGCAUUGAUUUCAAACGCUAAGUUACUGUGUUGAGAAUGUGAAUUGAAUUUGGUGUUUUUUUUUUUUUUUUGAGAUGGAAUUUGGUGUGUUGAUAUGUUCGUUGAUUUAACAAGGAAUGAUUUGUAAAUAAUCUAAUAACUUCUUCCCACGCUGUCAUAACCUCCCAUGGUCUAAUUUAAUUAAUGUCCAAAAUAAGCCAGCUUCUUUGUGUCAUGCCUUUAUAUAUAAAGGUACGUUCCUUUGUGAUUCAUUCGUAGAACAUUGUAUUCAUCCAUUGCAUGUCCCUAAUGCUAAUGAAGUUUCUAAGUAGUCAGAUCUCUCUUUUUGUGCUUUUUUUACAAUACUUCUGAAUCCUGCUCUAGUUUGAAGAUCAAUUCAAUGGUGACUAUGAAAUUAAGGUUGUUACUACUUACCUAUCAUUCGAGUAGCUGCUGCCAUGUCUGAUUCACUCAAACACCAAGAUAUGUUGCUCCUUGGUUUCGACAAACACUCAUGUUUUCUUUCUUGGCAGAGACUAUUUGGACCAUCCCUCUUUACUAUCCACACCAUCCCUUUUUUAUAAUAGCAUUGAUUUCAAUUUGGAAAAUAGUAGAUUUCUAAAAACAAAUUUGGCAAAUAGUAGCUUGGCCAAAUGCUACCUCUGCUCAUAUCACUAUUAUUAUUUAAUUUAGAAUAUUAGGAAAUCACAUAAAGGACACUUUAUUUUCAUUACUACUAGAAUGACAAGCACCAAAAUCUUAUAUGUAAUUUCUGCUACAUGACAUAUUCAAGGGAGUGGGUGGGUCUGAGAAAGUUCCGGUAGAUAUCAGAUCAAAGACGACCUUAUUGGCAGCCUCUGUACAAUGUGUCCCAUCCCAUAUCACUCUAGUAGAUGGUCUUUCACAUGAGCCCACAUAAAUUUCUUCACCAUCUAUGUUUAU